CCCUUAGAUGUUCUGGGCCGCACGCGUGCUACACUGAGUGGAUCAGCGGGUCAGGUUGCGCGAAAGUGUUUCCUAAUCUUGAAAUCCGCUCGUGAUGGGGAUUGGCGGUUGCAAUUUUCCGUCAUGAACGAGGAAUACCUUGUAAGCGCGGGUCAUCAUCCCGCGCUGAAUACGUCCCUGCCCUUUGUACACACCGCCCGUCGCUCCUACCGAUUGAGUGGUCCGGUGAGGCUUUGGGAUCUGAGCGGAAAGAGCGUUUCGCUGUUUCUGCUCGGAAAACUCAGUCGAACCUUAUCAUUUAGAGGAAGGAGAAGUCGUAACA
rnacentral:rRNA from 1 species